UUGAAGAUCAACUAGCUGACUGGACACAUCCCUUGUACAUUGUCCUGAAUUCCAAAUUUCGAAACCUUGGAUCUUGGAAGUCAAGAAUUGAAAGGUUUCAUUACUGAUGAAAUAAGUCAUCUGACAGACUUGGUAUGCUUGUAACUUAGCUAGAUGUUGUGCAAUGGUGGAAGAACCCUCCUGCUUAAGCGAAGUCACUGUCAUCGAAUAUUCAGUUUUGAGCUUCAUAGGUUGAGUCGGUACUACUCUGAUUGCUAAGAGGGCGUAUAGGUCAGUACAAUGUUUUCUUAUUUGAAUUCAGUAUGAUGUUUUCUUAUUAGAGGCCCGAACAAUGUUGAUUGACAGAUAGUGACAAGAAAGCAGUUGCAAAUUUUUCCAAGUGUUCCAAGUGAAUGUUUUGGAACAUAAGGUCGUUGGUUUACAUAUGUAGAAAUUACUAAUAUGGCACUUCAUGUUCCCUUCACAUGCUUGGUGCGUCAUCUGUUUUUGAGGCCUCUGACACUAUCCUAGCUUACUAAUCUGGGCAUUUUCGUGAUGGUGCUUAACUACUCAUGUAUUGGUUUCCAAGUAAUUUUCAUGAUGGUGCUUAAAUACUCAUGCACCGAUGCACAUGCCUAUUGUCUGUACUGUACACUAUCUUGAUCAUUCCAUCUACACUAACUUGAUCAUCCUAUUCUAUGAACUUUCUCUGAAUUUAUAUACAUAUUCCUUAUGGAUACUGAGAUUCAGAGACGAUUUAGCACAUGACAUAUUCACAUGAUAUCAUCGCCAGGGACCGCAUCAUAAGUGACUUUUGAAUAGUUUUGUUCUUUCUUACUCUUGCGGAGUUAGAAAAAUUAUGGUAAUUAUUUCGUCAUGUAAUGAACUAAUUUUUCCUGCUAUUACAGGUUGAUAUGAGAUCAUGCUUACCAAAAGCAAAAUUCCUGUUCCUGAUAUUAUUGUGAGUAUCCUUUGUGGGUUAACUAAUCUUACUCUGAAAAAAGGAGGCACGUUGAUUUCCUUCUGUGGGAUAGUGAUUACUUAUGUCAUUUUGAGUAUCUAAAUCUUUGUAUUCACAUUUUUUUUCAUUUUCCAUGUUCUGCUCUUUUAAUGCUGACUAUCUUCGUUUGCAUGAUCUCAUAUAUACUCUUGCUUAACGUGAUGUACAUUGUAUCUCUGGAGAAAUACCUUAGAACACUGGUUUCCUUCUAGUAGCCACACUGUAAGCCUUGGAUUAAUGUGAAUCAUCUAUACUCUUGCUUAUUUGUAUUCUGACAAUAUACUGUUCUAUUUAUAUUCAAACUUUUACUUAAUGUUUUCAUUGUUAGUACAAUCAGUAAGACCUGUUUUUUCAAUGAAACAACAUUCUUUAAUGGAAGCUUCAACUGGCAACGAAGACGAAGGCGAAAUUGAUGGCAAGAACUCAUUCUGCAGCAGCUUCGACAUCGGAGAGAAAGACAUGAACUAUCUCGGGUUGGAGUUUCUGUCCUUGGCCUUGGUAACAAAGAUCAAAUCUGCUGACUCAUUGUUGGUAUAGUUACAUAAGAUAGACACUUCAUUUGUAAUUGCUGUCACUGUAAUUUGUGAUGUUAUUGUAAGGAAUUAAGCGUAAUAUUAAU